GAGCUUCCUUCAGCAGCUAACAUACUAACAUUCAAACAAUAUAGAAAUUAGCAUGGCCCCUGAGCAAGUAUGAUAAACACAUUCAUAAAGUGUUUAUAAUAUGU